CUUUGCCUCAUUCAAGUGUAUGAAGUUCUUGGUGAUAUGAAUUAGUGUUUGAUUAAAGGUAACCUUUUCCCCCCUUACUUGGUUUGACAAAGUAUCUAAUAAGACUCCGUUUUCUAUUCUUGGAAUGUGAAUCAAAAAGGGUCCCAGGAAACCUGUGAAUGUUGAAGAAAAUUCGUCUGUGAAUUUUUGGUAUUCGAGGAGGAGUCAGUAUUUAUAUUCAUCUUUUAAACUGGGAAGAUUUAUGUUUUAUUUUAAAACUUCUUGAUAUUUACAAUGAAUGGACACAGUGAUGAAGAAAGUGUUAGAAACAGUAGUGGAGAAUCAAGAUGCCAGGAUUCCUGUUAAGAGGGAGAAGAGGGAGAAGACAUGAAAAAAAUCCAAGUCUGGGCUGAUUCUUCGCAAAUUUGGUAACAGAAAGGGUAGGUGCCUUUCUCCCAAGGCAAAUCCUUCAUCUUUAUUUUAGAUCCUAUCCAAUCCUACUUCCCA